UACGGAGGGGACUAGCGUUGUUCGGAAUUACUGGGCGUAAAGCGCACGUAGGCGGAUUUGUAAGUCAGGGGUGAAGUCCCGGGGCUCAACCUCGGAACUGCCUUUGAUACUGCAAAUCUCGAGUCCGGAAGAGGUGAGUGGAAUUCCUAGUGUAGAGGUGAAAUUCGUAGAUAUUAGGAAGAACACCAGUGGCGAAGGCGGCUCACUGGUCCGGUACUGACGCUGAGGUGCGAAAGCGUGGGGAGCAAACAGG
rnacentral:rRNA from 1 species